GACGAACGCUGGCGGCGUGCUUAACACAUGCAAGUCGAACGGAAAGGCCCUGCUUUUGUGGGGUGCUCGAGUGGCGAACGGGUGAGUAACACGUGAGUAACCUGCCCUUGACUUUGGGAUAACUUCAGGAAACUGGGGCUAAUACCGGAUAGGAGCUCCUGCUGCAUGGUGGGGGUUGGAAAGUUUCGGCGGUUGGGGAUGGACUCGCGGCUUAUCAGCUUGUUGGUGGGGUAGUGGCUUACCAAGGCUUUGACGGGUAGCCGGCCUGAGAGGGUGACCGGCCACCAUGGGACUGAGAUAGGGCGCAGACUCGUACGGGAGGCAGCAGGGGGGAAUAUUGCACAAUGGGCGGAAGCCUGAUGCAGAAACGCCGCGUGCGGGAUGACGGCCUUCGGGUUGUAAACCGCUUUCGCCUGUGACGAAGCGUGAGUGACGGUAAUGGGUAAAGAAGCACCGGCUAACUACGUG
rnacentral:rRNA from 1 species